rnacentral:snRNA from 1 species
AUUGCUUCUCGGCCUUUUGGCUAAGAUCAAGUGUAGUAUCUGAGGAAGGUGAGAAGGAACUGAGAUUAACAAUGAGUGUAAAGAGGGCUUCGCGUGUCUGUAAUGCACUGUAUGUUAAAAGAAGAAUGAAUUCAUUUUUGUAUCUAUGUGAUUGCUA